rnacentral:lncRNA from 10 species
AGCAGCUGGGACUACAGGCGCCUGCCACCAUGCCCAGCUUUUUUUUGUAUUUUAAUAGAGCCGGGUUUCACCUUGUCAGCCAGGAUGAUCUCGAUCUCCUGACCUCGUGAUCUGCCUGCCUUAGGUGCCCAAAGUGCUGGGAUUACAGGCAUGAGCCACCGCACCCAGCCCACCCUUUACCUUUAACUUAUUCUUUGGCUUGGGGAGCAGGCUGCCACAGCUCAAGCUGGGCCUUGGCCAAGGGCAACAUUGCCAGGUUCCCAAGGGUAGCAACAACAGGAAGCUGAAACUGCCAGAUUACCCGCCCCUACCAGCAUCCUCCCCUGGAAGGCAACUUCCUGCCAGCUUCCUGGUCACUCAGCCUGAGCACCCCUCCCAAGAGGCCAGUUAGGUGCCUCUUCCUUGAUUUCCCUAACUCUUACUCGUCUCAAGACCUGGAAGUUUCUCCUAACUGUACCUCACUCUAUUCUUUCUAACCCAACUUGCUUUCCCUUUCCACAAUUGAGCUGAAGAACCACAAAAUACCCCACGAUAACCUCUGUUCCACUCCCUUAGCCCUUCC